CUCAGAUGUCAGUUAGAAAAAAAACAAAACAGAUUUGUCAACAAUGAUCUCAAAGCUGCCCAUUUGAGGAAGGGCAGGUGCUGCCCUUAGUAGAUACUGGAGGACGUAUUGAAUCUGAGAGGCUGGCCUGUGAGUGACAGGCUUGGGGCUGCUUACUUCAUAGAAACCUGGGCCUCAAUGAUCUCAUCUGUGUGAUGAGGCGAGAGGGUCUGAGGAUCAUCAACAUCCCCCAGCUUUGUUACCCUGAGACUGUGAAACGAGGUGAAAACCUGCAGAACGGGAAGACGAUCUGUAGCCAAGGACAUGGACAUAUCCCCCCCCAGUCGCUGCCUUGUUCUUGACAAAGUCCCUGGAAGCGCUCCUCCCUGGGAGUUCAAGACCUGGCCGUGUGUAGCUCUUACCCAGGAAAGCACCUUCUUGCUCAUUGUAUUUUUUCAGACCAUGGAAUGUCAGUGUAUGAAUGAGUUGGGAUUUAUAUCUGUAGGCUUGGCUGCUGUUUGGAACUCGCUUGGAUUUUGAGAUAUAAAUUACACUUGUGUGUUCUGGUCCAGGACACGUGUUAUUUAUUGUUUGAGCUUGAGGAUCACAGAGGAUCAGAUCUGGGGGACAUAGAGUGUCUGUUUCAAGGCUCUAUAUUUUGCCUGUUCCUUAUCCUCUCACACUGGUUUCAGUUGUUUUGAAAUAGAGCACCAUAAAUAUGAGUGUGACGCCUGGGGGAGCUGCCCUUGUCCUUGCCUUCCUCCUGGGCGCUGGGUUUACUGUGCCCACGAGGGGUGGGGGCAGGGGGGAGGAGAGAGCUGGAACUGGCUCUUACACACCCUAGGUCUGACCGUGACACCGUACCAAGCUCUCUACACAGGCUGCCAGACCUCUGUUACCUCUUUUUCUAUGGAAGGAAACAGAGACAGUUAUACAUUUGGGAUUACCUUUGACAAUGCCUUAAAUGACCCAUAAGGUACAAAGUGUAGAGACUGCUGGAUACAGACAGCCCUGUACAAAAAUGUGUCCUAUAAAUGAAUGAUGCUCAGAGCAGUGCAGGCAUGUUGUGAACAUAAAUGCGGGGAGCAUUCUGACAGUAUUGUGAUAAUGUAAAAGAGAGCAAAAGAACACUUCACACCCACUUGAAUGGCUAUUACUAAAAAAUAAAAAAAUAAAAAGGAAAAUAAUAGGCAUAGGCUGUAUGCAGAGAAAUCUGAACCCUUGUGCACUGCUGAUGGGAAUGGAAAAUAGUGCUGCCACUUUGGAAAAGAGAGCUCCCUCAAAAAGCCAAACACAGAAUUACUGUAUCAUGCAACGAUUCCUUUUCUAGGUGAAGCUAAGUGAAAUCUUAGACAUGAAAGGGCAAAUUCUAGGAUUGAUUCCACUCUCAUGAGGUCCUACAACAAACAAAUUCAUAGAGACAGUUAAAUAGAGGUUGCUGGGUUGCAAGAAGGAGUGUGGAGUUGUUUAAUGGUUUCAGUUUCUGUGGGAUGAUGAAAACAUUCUGGGGAUGGAUGGUGCUGAUGGUUGUACAACACUGUGAAUGUACUUGAUGCUAUGUAAAAAUGUUUACAGCGGUGAGUUUUGUAUAUAUUGAUCACAGCAAAAAGAGCCAGAGCAACAGGUUGAAGUUGCAUCACUUGCCCUGCCUCUUCUUGGGGGGCGUGGACCCCAGCACAUCCCACCUCUGCUUCAGCAUGGCCCUACUGGGGAGACAUCAGUCCCAUUUUAGAGAUUUCCUGUGCCGCUCAUGGGCCUGGGAACUGUGCAGUCACCCAGACCCAGAGAAGUCUUCCAGCUUCAGGCAGACAGCAAGGAAGAAAACAUCCCUGGACCAUCAUUGAGCCUUUCUGGCUCCUGGACCCUGGCAUCAGAGCAAACCUGCAUUUUACAAGACUUUCCUCGCUUUGGCCUUAAACCUGCAAAUCUAGGGAGAGAAACCGUGGAUUCACAUGGACUUGGAGGCCAGAGCAAGUAGUAGUGCCCACAGGGAAGCAGGACCCCGAGAUCAGCUGAGAGAGUAACCAGGGACAGGAGAGGAUGCAAACAGCUAAGUCUUGGAGCACGAGGCUGUCUUCGGUCCUCGGCAAGGAGAGCUGAAGCUCUGGGAACUAGAGCCAGGAGCAGUCACCCUGGUGGUCAUGCACUCACUGGGGGUGGCUAUUUGAGUAAAGCCUUUCCACCUGGAAGAUGACCAUGACCUGCAGUGGGCAGGGCAACAGCAGCAGAAGCAGCAGCAGCAACAACAACAAACAGCAAGACCACGUCACAGGUCCUUGAAGUUACUUGAUCAAGCACUCCCUUAAUAUGAGCAAACUGGGACCUAGCCAUCACAACUUCCACUCUGGAGUGGGUAAAAUGUUACCAUAAAGUGGCAGAGAUGGAGGUCACUGCAGUCCAGUCUCACCACAUGCAAGAGCUGGGGAGCUUUCCAUUGUACCCCAUCUCUGCCCUCUGGGCAUCAAGGAUGUAGCCUUUGUCUCAAGGAACUGAUAGUAAAGUCCCCAGAAGGCAGUGUGGUGGAGUGGGGAUGGUGCCCGCCCGAGGAGCUGCCAGCCUGCCUUGACGCCUCCCUACCCAGACUCCGGAGCCAUGCAGACUGCACAGUGUUUAAGCUUCAGUGUCUUCCUAUGGAACACUCUGUAAUGACCUAUUGGGAAUAGACUCUAGAAGAGAGGACAUGUGUGUAACUGACUCACUUUGCUAUAUGGCAGAAACUAACACAAUAUGCCCUGGAGAAGGGAAGUCCUGCACUUCGCAGAGAAGAGGGAAAUGGACCUCAGAAGGGAGAUAUGGCUGCCUGUGACCACGCAGCUUCAAGAAGAGACGUCUCUGCUGGCUCAUGAGUUUAUUCUUUGGAUAAACCUAGGAUGUUUAUCUAGGACCAAGAAGCAACAGAAAAGGCAUUAGUGGUUAUGAACCCACCUGCCAAUGCAGGAGACACAAGAGA